CACUCUGCAGGCGGGGCAACGAUCAGCCCCUUUGCACAAAUGACACUGGGGCGUCCAGGAGCAGUGGCUUGGCUAAGGUCACAGGGCAAGCAGUUGGUAGGCAGGCCUGGCCCCCGGUGGUCUUAGCCUGUGGCCCCUUCUCAGCACAGCUGUGGGGUGUGUCCUGCUGGGAGACCUAACCGUGACUGACCCGGGACCUCUUCCUUCUGAGCCCCACCCUGGGCAGGCCCCCAGGAAGGAGUUGGUGGUGAGUGCUGACGGGACUGAACCGGAUUAAACUGGAUCUCAGAGCCCGUGAAGGGCGCAGGCUGGCCUGAGGAGGCCACUGAGGAGCUGAUGGAGCAAGCAGCGAGGCCCCCCAUGAGCGCAGAGUCCCUGGGGCCCCGCGGGGCCUCCUGCAGGGGGCGGUGACCCAGGAGGCAGGCCUGGCAGCUCGCUGCAUCACCAGCACAUGGGGGAGCCUGCCGGCGUGGCCCCGGAGCACAGCAGCAUCGAUCACAGCGCAGGUGUGAGCUGCCGCCUCAGGUAACACAAAGCCCUGUUGGGGCUGAUGAGUCCCCUGCACACGGGCAGGUAGGGCAGAGGUGGGCCACAGCUGGGCUCUGUGCGGACAGGGGCACAGAGCCCACAGCGGUGCGACAGCAGGUGCUCAGCGGGGCCUACGGGCUGCAAAGAUAAGAGAGGCGGCUGUCCCUUAGCCGGAGGGAACGUGCUGCUCCCAGACUGUCCUGGCCCGGCCUCUCCGGAGACACAGGACCGUAGGAGAUACAGAUACACAGAGACUUAAUAUGUGGACUCAGCUCCCAUGAUUAUGGAGUGGACCAGUCCCAGCAUCCGAAGGGCGGCUUGGCAGGCUGGGUCCCCGGGAGAGGUGAUGGGAGAAGGUCCAGGACAGACGCAGGAAAACCAGUGUCCCGGUCCAGAGGCCAUCAGGCAGGUGCAUUUUCCUCUUACUUGGGGAGGGUCAGGCCUUCUGUCCUAUUCAGGCCUUCAGCUGACUGGAUGAGGCUCACCCACCCUGGGGAGCGGUACCUGCUUUACCCAGUCUGUGGAUUUAAAUGCUAAUCUCAUCCAAAAGUACCCUCACAGACACACCCAGAAUAAUAGGAAUGUCUGGGCCCCAGUGGCCCCGUCAAGAUGACACGUAAAAUGAGGCCUCACACAAACCAUGGUGCAGCCACGCAGCCUGUCCCCGGCACUUCCCGCCCCUCCUGGGCACUCAGCCUGCCCUGGCUUUCUCUCUACUCACCCUUAAUAGUACCAGGGUCCAAGCAGGAAACUGAAGGAACCCCCACAUGGGGUCAUUUUGGUGAGACUUUCCUGGAGAGAUUCAUACAGAUGGGAGCUUAAGUUUCAGAAAAACAACACGUGGUGUACAGAGCUCCGGCCAGUAAUGGGAGCCGCUACCCAAACCAGAAGGAGAACACGGCCACCAGGGCCCAGAGAGGGCCACCGGCAGGCGCGGAGGCCCGGGAGGGACCACCAGGGACGGAGCGGGCCGCCAGAACUCCAUCUCCUUCUCCCGCCUCCCUCUGAGCUCCGUCUGGGCUGCUCGUGGGCAGGACCGGUGGGUCCCUCAGGGAAAGGGGAUCUGUGGCUACUGCCUAGCCAGGGAAUGGUGGAGAAAAGCAGAAACUUCUUCAGGAAAUGGAAGGCAGCAUGGAAGGAAUGCCUCCUCAUGGUGGGAAGGUGGACUUCUCCGCAUCAGAGGCUCUGCUGUGACCCCCCAUCAUGCCCUGGCCCCAUCCCUGCCAGCGCCCCUCGGUCCAGGUGAACGUAAAACCGUGACGCCAAAGGACAUGGCUGGGUCUUACCGCCUACUGUCAGGCACCCUGAAGAUGGAAGGGAUGUGACCUUCCAGUCCAGGAUACCCCCUAUCCCACCCUCUGGAACCUGGCCCAGCACUCACUACAGAGGAAGAGGUCCUGGCAGCUGACCGGGGGUGCCUCCGGGACAUGAAAGAGAAACGCUGCUCGGUGGCUGUGGAUUUGAACAAGGAGAAAGAGGAAGCUGACUUGCCUUCCUAUGCCCAGAAAUAUCGGCUGCCUGAUGGCCAGGAGAUCAACGUUGGGCAGAAGAGAUUCCUCCGCCCUGAAGGGCUUUUCCAGACAAACCUGAUCGGUGAGCCCUGCGAAGGGAACAGAGGGAGGACCAGCCUAGGUGCCCACAUGACAGCCCUCCAGAGCACGGGCCGAGCAACCCUGCUCUCCGGGAGAGUCUCUUCGGCCACAUUGUGUUGUCUGGCGGGUACUGGUUCCUGUUCCGGCUUGCAGUUCCGGAUGCAGAAAGAAAUAUCUGCCCUGGUUUCCCCUACAAUUAAUGUGAAGAGCGAAUCUAAGAGCCGAGGGCAAGUCCUCUUUGCUCCCGCCCCUUUCUCCCUAUCGUUUAAAACCAUGGGCAGUAAGACAUGGGCCUUAAGUGUCUUCAAAGGUGAGAGGAAAUUGUAUUUUCUGGGGAAAGAAAUGAGUGUGCCUGAAGCUCAUGCUGGGGUUGGCACUCUGCGUCCCCUCCGUAGAGCAGCAGCUCGAUGCUGGCUUCUUUCUCUUCCCCUGCCUCCCUCCCCACUCCCCGCCCCGCUCUCCUCCGCUCUGCCUCCUCCACCCCAUCCAGGUGUCCACCAGUCCUGUGCCACGUACGGUGCCUGGGUGGGUGGCUCCAUCCUGUGCUCACUCUCUACCUUCAAGGACAUGUGGGUCACCAGCAAAGAGUGUAAGGACUUCGGUUCCUCCAUCGUCACUAGGAGAAAUUUCUGACUUGUGGCUUCCUGGACGCCAUCACCUCCAUUGCCUGUCCCGUCAGUGCCGAUUCGAGACUGAGCCUCAGAGCUCAGAACCAGUUCAAACUUGAGGGUGGCCCUUCCCACCCAGACUUCAAUAAAAAGGGUCAAUAAAGAGCAGGCACUCUUUGCCUGGACAAGGCUUGCAGCAUCCUGGGAUGUGCCCCUAGGGCACUUACUACAUUAAUGCAGGGUAAGGAAGGCAGGGAAUCUCUGGUGACCUCUGUGUACCAGCCAGCAUGGCUAAGCUUUGCUGCAGUAACAAACAUCCCCAGAAUCUCAGUCCCAUGAAACAAGAGUCUAUUUCUCACUUGUGCUGCGUGUCCACUGGAGGUCAGUGGGGGCCCUCUCCUGCGUCACCCUCACUGCGGAAGCCAGCUGACGGAGCAGACAGCAUCUGGAACAUCGGCACUCAUUGUGGAUGAGCAUAAAAGCGCCUCAGCGGGCCUUUCAUUGGCACUGGAGCACUCCAGCCCAAAAGGGACCCCCAGGACGUCCACCCACAGUUAUUGCCCAGAGCAAGUCCCAUGGUCCCAAAUCACCGCAGCGGGCCAGGGGAUGUCAUCCUGCCAGAGACCUGACACCCCACCGGGGGAGAGCGGUGCCAAGGCUCUGGUUCUGUGAGGGCACAGUUAGGAUGGUGUUCAGAGAGCACAACGCGAGGGUGAGUCACGCCCUUCAACAAAUGUGAUCCUCAUGACGUCACCGUGCGAUUCCUUUUACGGAAGCUAGCUUCGUAAUGCAGACACUAAAGCUGAGAGAAGCUAAUAAACAUGACCGAGGCUGUGUAGACAGUGGCAGGGGGGUGAUCCCCAGGUAACACCCCAUAGAGGCCGGAGGAUGUGUGCAGAGGGAGCCAGGCAAGAAGGUCGCCCCAGACGGGGGAGGGUGGUAGUGAUGGGGUGUGACAGGAUGAUGUGAGGUUCGUCUGGAAGGGAAGAUGCACAAAGUAUCAAGAAACCACCCCAGCGAGCUCCUCCUGUAGGUGCCCAGGGCAGCCCCCUUUCCUGGCAGCCAGCAGCACAGCCAGGUCACUGCCCAGCCACACCCCUUCCCAGAUGCCCCUCAGAGAGCCACUUUCCAGCGUGGCCCAAGGUCAUUGUCCCUGCAGGUCAAGGACUUUAAAAUCUGGGUACAGCGUGUCUGGACGGGAGCCACACCUUUUUGCUCAGCACUUUCUCCCUUCUGGAAAUUCCUUUGGGAUUGGUUUGGAUGAGGCUUGUGCCCACACUCCCUGCCAGCUGUGGGCAUGUGACCAAAGCCUGGCCGGAAAGCCCCAGGGGAGGAUCCGCGGGCCAGGCCGGCGAGACUCGGUUCCAGGACAGUGCCGUUGGGCAGCAGCUUGUUCCGGGAGGGAGGUAACUGCUCGGACAAGAGUCCUGAGCUGCCGGCAACAUUCCAGGGGACCGGAGCCUGCUUGAGAAUGAAGCCGUCACAGAAGAACUCAGGCAUGGGGAAGGGCAGAGAGGGGAAGAGAGAGAAACUGAGACGCCUCACAGCCCAGACUGAGCCAACCAAGCCUGAGCUUCUCCUGCGGACUCACUAGCUGAGAAGCCACUAAGUCCCACUUUCACUUAAUCUAGUUUGUAUUUGAAGGUGAUUCUUUAAAGCCAAGUCUGGGACACCAUUCCAGGGUUUGUUGCAGGGUCUUUCCCCUUCUCCUCUGUCAGGGCCUUUGAGCCCUAGUUUUGCCCUUGGAUUUAGCUUCGCAUGUUCUUUUCCAGACACCAGGCUUUCAAACA